CACGUAGGGGCGAGCGUUGUCCGGAAUUACUGGGCGUAAAGAGCUCGUAGGUGGUUUGUCGCGUCGUCUGUGAAAUUCCGGGGCUCAACCCCGGACUUGCAGUGGGUACGGGCAGACUAGAGUGUGGUAGGGGAGACUGGAAUUCCUGGUGUAGCGGUGAAAUGCGCAGAUAUCAGGAGGAACACCGAUGGCGAAGGCAGGUCUCUGGGCCACUACUGACGCUGAGAAGCGAAAGCAUGGGGAGCGAACAGGAUUAGAUACCCUGGUA
rnacentral:rRNA from 1 species